rnacentral:rRNA from 1 species
CCUACGGGGGGCAGCAGUGGGGAAUUUUGGACAAUGGGGGCAACCCUGAUCCAGCCAUGCCGCGUGCGGGAAGAAGGCCUUCGGGUUGUAAACCGCUUUCGGCCGGAACGAAAUCGCCGGGGAGAACAUCCCCGGUGGAUGACGGUACCGGAAGAAGAAGCACCGGCUAACUACGUGCCAGCAGCCGCGGUCAUACGUAGGGUGCUAGCGUUAAUCGGAAUUAGCGGACGCGGAUCGCGAACAGGCGGUUGAAAUCCCCGGGCUUAACCUGGGAACUGCGUUUGUGACUGGCGGGCUGGAGUGCGGAAGAGGGAGGUGGAAUUCCACGUGUAGCAGUGAAAUGCGUAGAGAUGUGGAGGAACACCGAUGGCGAAGGCAGCCUCCUGGUCUAGCACUGACGCUCAUGCACGAAAGCGUGGGGAGCAAACAGGAUUAGAUACCCUUGUAGUC